rnacentral:piRNA from 1 species
UUUAGUAGUAAAUUAAGAAUAGAGA